UAGGGAAUCUUCGGCAAUGGACGGAAGUCUGACCGAGCAACGCCGCGUGAGUGAAGAAGGUUUUCGGAUCGUAAAGCUCUGUUGUUAGAGAAGAACGUUGGCAGGAGUGGAAAAUCUACCAAGUGACGGUAACUAACCAGAAAGGGACGGCUAACUACGUGCCAGCAGCCGCGGUAAUACGUAGGUCCCGAGCGUUGUCCGGAUUUAUUGGGCGUAAAGCGAGCGCAGGCGGUUCUUUAAGUCUGAAGUUAAAGGCAGUGGCUUAACCAUUGUACGCUUUGGAAACUGGAGGACUUGAGUGCAGAAGGGGAGAGUGGAAUUCCAUGUGUAGCGGUGAAAUGCGUGGAUAUAUGGAGGAACACCGGUGGCGAAAGCGGCUCUCUGGUCUGUAACUAACGCUGAGGCUCGAAAGCGUGGGGAGCAAACAGG
rnacentral:rRNA from 1 species